CCAUACAUAACGGUAAUAUGUACAGUCAAACCCCGUUGUGUCGAACUCGUCGAGACCAAGGGAAAGGUUCGACUUAUCCGAGUGUUCAACACAUCCGUCAGCAUAGAAAUGACCAAGUACCAACACGACCAAAGUGCUU